rnacentral:lncRNA from 1 species
GAGAACAUCCUGGUGAUUUGGGGUUUGAUAAGACUUUGAAGUGAUAAAAUAAAAAACACAGCCCAUAAAAGAAAAUAGUCAUAUAAACUUUGUUCAAAUUAAAUAUGACCUGUGUAAUAUACUCUUAAGAGGAAGACAAGCCACAGACCAUGAGAAAACAUUUGCAUAAUACAUUUCUGAUAAAGGGAUUUUAUACAAGACUUAUUACAGAGACCUCUUAAAACUCAACAAGAAAACAACACAGAUGAUAAUUGGCCAAAGUUCUGAAGAAAAAUUUUACCAAAGUUGAUGGUAAACAGAUAGCAAAAGAGCCUAAGAAAAGAUGCUCAUCAUAUGUCAUUAGGGACAAGAACUUCUCAUCUAGAAAGUCUUGCAGUGUGGUCCAAAAGGGCAAUUUGACCCUGUAUAGCAUUAUUUAAAAAAUGUCCACUUCCAACCAUAGCAUAGCCUAGAGCAUCUGAAAGGACUGAACCAUCAUUUGGCAUCUGGACUAAUGAUCUGCUAUUGGCUGCGUCUCCUCCUCUGCACUUGGUCUUCAGCUGGGUGCAGUUGGAGCAGCUGGUGUCACACAAAGCUGUCCCCGCAGGUGCGGAGAACAGCAUCUGGAACAGAGCCAUUCUCCCAGUUGGAAAAGGCGUCAGGAGUCCUGAGAAGGGCCCCUGUCCAUCAAUGUGUCCUGCUACAUGUCCAUCUCUCUACCCGUCACCUUAGAUCUGCCAAACCACUAUCAUCCCUCAAUUCCAAUACAGUCCUUCUAGUGUGUACCCAACAUUCCCAGGACCACCCACCACACCUUCAUCUGCUCCUGUACUCUUGUCACCUGUGUCUUCCUUUUUCUUUUCCCGUAUCUACUUCCAGAUCCAACAUUUCAUACCAUUCCCUGUAUCCUUCUGCCCAACACCCUUAAGCCCCACAGCAGUGCUCAACUUUCAGGCAUCCUCAGCUUCUCCAUGAACUGCAUGCAAGCCCUUGACCCAUUAUCCACCAUGCUCUACAGGUGGUUUGUUUUUUCUCUCUGUGGGCUUUAGUCCACUUAUACCUAUGGUAUUCCCCAACUCCCUACACUUUCCUGUGUACAUCUUUCCUUCUCCCCAUGUCUGUCUGUUCCCCAGGCUGCAUCUCCUUUACUUGCUUUCUGUAUCUGUCUUGAUCUAGUAUUACCCAAGUUCUGCC